rnacentral:rRNA from 1 species
UACGGGGGGAGCAAGCGUUGUUCGGAUUUACUGGGCGUAAAGGGCGCGUAGGCGGUUACUUAAGUUGGAUGUGAAAGCCCUCGGCUUAACUGAGGAAGUGCACCCAAAACUGAGUAGCUUGAGUACGAAAGAGGGUCGCGGAAUUCCCGGUGUAGAGGUGAAAUUCGUAGAUAUCGGGAGGAACACCGGUGGCGAAGGCGGCGACCUGGGUCGAGACUGACGCUGAGGCGCGAAAGCGUGGGGAGCAAACAGG